CUCGCUUUAUCAACCGUCUCUGAUCCCGGAUCUACAUCUCCUCCCCACCCAUCGAAGGGUAGAGAGGCAAGACAUCGAAGAACUCCUCUUUGGCAAAAACAAUUU